AGCGAACGCUAGCGGCGGGCUUAACACAUGCAAGUCGAGCGCUUCACUUCGGUGAAGAGCGGCGGACGGGUGAGUAACACGUAGGUUACCUGCCCCUGGGUGAGGGACAACCGAGGGAAACCUCGGCUAAUACCACAUAUGGUCUACGGAUCAAAGGCUUCGGCCGCCCGGGGAUGGGCCUGCGUCCUAUUAUUUAAUCCUAGUUGGCGGGGUAACGGCCCACCAAGGGUACGAUGGGUAGCUGGUCUGAGAGGAUGAUCAGCCACACUGGAACUGAGACACGGUCCAGACUCCUACGGGAGGCAGCAGUGGGGAAUAUUGCGCAAUGGGCGAAAGCCUGACGCAGCCACGCCGCGUGAGUGAUGAAGGCCCCAGGGUCGUAAAGCUCUGUCGGGGGGGAAGAAGUUCUGACGGUACCCCCCAAGAAAGCACCGGCUAACUCCGUG
rnacentral:rRNA from 1 species